rnacentral:rRNA from 1 species
UACGAAGGGGGCUAGCGUUGCUCGGAAUCACUGGGCGUAAAGGGUGCGUAGGCGGGUCUUUAAGUCCGAGGUGAAAUCCUGGAGCUCAACUCCAGAACUGCCUUUGAUACUGAGGAUCUUGAGUUCGGGAGAGGUGAGUGGAACUGCGAGUGUAGAGGUGAAAUUCGUAGAUAUUCGCAAGAACACCAGUGGCGAAGGCGGCUCACUGGCCCGAUACUGACGCUGAGGCACGAAAGCGUGGGGAGCAAACAGG